GUGCCUAGUGGUUAGAGUGUCCGCCUCGGAUGCAGGAGGUCGUGGGUUCGAACCCCGGCCGACU